GGGUGAGUCAUCGAAUCUUUGAACGCACAUUGCGCCCGCUGGAACUCCGGCGGGCACGCCUGUCCGAGCGUCAUUUCAACCCUCAGGCCCCCCUUCGCGGGCGGGCCUGGUGUUGGGGCCCGGCCGCUACCCUGCGGCCGUCCCCUAAAUUCAGUGGCGGCCUCGCCGUGAUCCCUUGCGUAGUAAUGCACCUCGCACCGGAGAGCGCCGUGGCCACGCCGUAAAACCCCCAAUUUUCAAUGGUUGACCUCGGAUCAGGUGGGAAUACCCGCUGAACUUAAGCAUAUCAAUAAGCGGAGG
rnacentral:misc_RNA from 1 species